rnacentral:rRNA from 1 species
GUGUCAGCAGCCGCGGUAAUACGGAGGGUGCGAGCGUUGUUCGGAAUUAUUGGGCGUAAAGCGCGUGUAGGCGGCUCCUUAAGUCUGAUGUGAAAGCCCCGGGCUCAACCUGGGAAGUGCAUUGGAAACUGGGGAACUUGAAUACGGGAGAGGGUAGUGGAAUUCCUGGUGUAGGAGUGAAAUCCGUAGAUAUCAGGAGGAACACCGGUGGCGAAGGCGGCUACCUGGACCGAUAUUGACGCUGAGACGCGAAAGCGUGGGGAGCAAACAGGAUUAGAUACCCCGGUAGUCC